rnacentral:rRNA from 1 species
GAUGAACGCUGGCGGCGUGCUUAACACAUGCAAGUCGAACGGGAAACCUUUUAAUGAAGCUUCGGCAGAUUUAGCUGGUUUCUAGUGGCGGACGGGUGAGUAACGCGUGGGUAACCUGCCUUAUACAGGGGGAUAACAGUCAGAAAUGACUGCUAAUACCGCAUAAGCGCACAGGACCGCAUGGUCCGGUGUGAAAAACUCCGGUGGAAUAAGAUGGACCCGCGUUGGAUUAGCUUGUUGGUGGGGUAACGGCUCACCAAGGCGACGAUCCAUAGCCGGCCUGAGAGGGUGAACGGCCACAUUGGGACUGAGACACGGCCCAGACUCCUACGGGAGGCAGCAGUGGGGAAUAUUGCACAAUGGGGGAAACCCUGAUGCAGCGACGCCGCGUGAAGGAAGAAGUAUCUCGGUAUGUAAACUUCUAUCAGCAGGGAAGAUAGUGACGGUACCUGACGAAGAAGCCCCGGCUAACUACGUG